rnacentral:misc_RNA from 1 species
UCCCAUCCUUCCUCUCGUAUUCAUAGCAAGGUCUGCAAACUGGAAAUGCACAAACAUUGCAAGCAACGAAUGGGUCACCAUCAACAGUUUUGCCAACAUUAUCACCACAGAUCUGGCAGACCUGUCCACCUACAUUCUUCAUGGGCUUUGCCCCACUUUCUCCUUCAGACUCCAUUGGCACCCGCUCUUCUUUGUCAGAUGAAACUUCAGUCAGUCUCAACAAUAUUUAUGCAUGUUUAAAUACA